GAACAAGAAACUUAAAGCUAAUAUAGCCAUGCUGACAGAAAAGAAAUUGCAAUUUGAGAAGAUAAUUGACAUUUCAACUGAAGAGAAUAAGAAACUUAAAGCUAAAGUUGUUGAUAAUGAAAUGGUAAUUGCUAAACUGACAAAA